rnacentral:lncRNA from 1 species
UUUUUGUUUUUUUUUUUUUUUUUUGUUGUUGUUGUUUUGAGACAAGGUUUCUCUGUAUAGCCCUGGCUGUUCUGGAACUCACUUUGUAGGCCAGGCUGGCCCCGAACUCAGAAAUCCGCCUGCCUCUGCCUCCCAAUUGUUGGGAUUAAAGGUGUGCGCCACCACUGCCCGGUUCUUGCCUGAAGGUAACGGUCCCUUUUGUAGUUGAUGCUUCAGUCUGACUGCACAGGGCACUGAGCGAGCUUCUGAAGGCUGGUGUUCACAGUGGCUGCUCUGUGAUUUCCUGGUGCUUUGAGAUGGGCUUGCCCUUCAGCUCAUUAGCUUGAUAAGCAUCUUCUCUGAGAUUUUUAGUUUUAAUUGUCAUAUAGUGGUUGUGUAUGUACAUGGUUAGUUUGGCAUUUGGUACAGUAUCCAGGCUUGUGUCUUAUCCCAUGAGAUGUCAUUUUAGAGUUCUUUCUUCCGGAAACAAAGGCAGGAGCAUUAAAACAGCUGUGCCAUUUGUUGACUCAUAGGAAGCAUCAUGAACCUCAAUUAUAAUUUGUUUUAUCGUAAUUAUUACUCAACAGACAUCGAGAUGCUGUUGUGUGAAUAUGGCCUCUUCUCCCUUCUGCCAAAACAAAACAAAAUACCCAAACAAAACUAAUACAAAAUAAAAUAACAUACAGAAAGGUCAGAGAACUUCCCAGUUAGAAUGAAUAUCCCAAAAGAUACAUCUACAUAAUCCAAAAAAGAAAUGUCUGCAUAAACAGUGUUCCCUAACUCUUACUAAGCAAGCAUGGUUCUGUAGCCACUUCUGCCUUUGCCCAAGAAUGAUAUUUUUUUCUGUUUAAGGCUUUUAGAAAUUCUUAUCUUUACCCUUCUCCCCUAUCUAGAAAGGCAUAGUUCUGAAAGCCUCAGCCAGCUUAAAUUCAGUAUUUUACUCAAAGAUCAACUGGAAGGAGACUACUGCUUGCACCUCCCACCCACAGCAUCACCCAGCCACCAGGACAACCAGUCAGCCUGUGGGCUCUGGAUGAUUCCUACUGAGCAGCAGGGUGCCUCCAGUCUUCAUUGCAUAAACUCUGGCUAAGCCGUCUCUGUUCGCCCACAGCCACCCAGUGAUGCCUCCAGUCUUCAUUACAUAAACUCUGGCUAAGCCGUCUCUGUUCGCCCACAGCCACCCAGUGAUGCCUCCAGUCUUCAUUGCAUAAACUCUGGCUAAGUCGUCUCUGUUCGCCCACAGCCACCCAGUGAUACUGCUGUCUUGCUGUUGUGUUUUCUGUUCUUUUUGGUUUCCAAAGCUUAUUUUGAAACCUUUGCCUUACACAUAUUGGUGUACGAUCACUUCACAAGAUGGCUUGUCUGACUGAAUAGGACAGUCAUGGGCAGCUCUCAGAAUGGCCUUGGGAAUGCUUGUGUAAGGCUACACAGUAGCUUGGUCAGCUUCCGUAAGCGAACAUGUCCAGGAAGUGGUCAUGUGCUAGCUCUCUGUAUGGCAAAACCUGUUGGUGGGUUCACAGCUGUGAGGCCCCCAGAGCUGAUUGAUCCCAAGAGCUAUGCAGAUUUGAAAACCUCCAUGUUAUCUUGGUUGUCUGGUGGUAUUAUUUUGAAAUUGUAUAGAUGACUUGGAAAAAACCUAUUAUGUACCCAUGAAAACCACAUAGUAAAAUUUUAUAAUCUUACAAGACUGGAAGGCAGAUGCGUCCUUUUGAAUAGACAGCUUAAAAGUCCCACGUUGUGAAUGUUGUCAGGCUGGAGCUAAGUCACUUUUUUUCAGUUUGCCUUUCAUCAGACAGUAGCGUCCAUGUGGGUAGGUCUUUAGAAGUGAAAAACACAAGGUCUUCAUGGUGUGCUCUAAUGGAAGGUAGCUGCCCUCACUUGGACUCCAUCCAUUUCUGACACUGCCUAUUUGUACCAAGAUUAUCUAUGAAUUCUGUUACUGGAGUUUGCUGGGCUGGGCUGGGGAAGGGCGAGCCAGAGUUUCUCACAUUGUUCUUCCUUGCAUAGGCUUUCAACCACGGCUAAAAGCAGGUUGUGGUGUAUGCCUUUAGUUCAAGACCAACCUGGUCUACAUAGGGAGCUCUAGACAAAGUUACAAGAUGAAACAUUAUC